GACGAACGCUGGCGGCGUGCUUAAUACAUGCAAGUCGAACGGAAAGGCCCUGCUUUUGUGGGGUGCUCGAGUGGCGAACGGGUGAGUAACACGUGAGUAUCCUGCCCUUGUCUUUGGGAUAACUUCAGGAAACUGGGGCUCAUAUCGCAUAUAAUCUACUGCUGCAUGGUGGGCGUUGGUAAGUUUCGGCGGUAGUGUAUGGACUCGCGGCUUAUCCGCUAGUUGGUGAGGUAGUUGCUUACCAAGUUUAUGACGGGUAGCCCGCAUGGGAGGUUGACCAGCCACAAGAGUCCUGCGAUACGGCGCAGACGCCUACGGGAGGCAGCAGGGGAGAAUAUUGCACAAUGAGGGGAAGCCUGAUGCAGCAGCGCCGCGUGCGUGAUAACGGCCUUCGAGUUAUAAACCGCUUUGGCAGGUGCCGAAGCCUGAGUGACGGUACUGGGUAAAGAAGCACCGGCUAACUACGUG
rnacentral:rRNA from 1 species